rnacentral:rRNA from 1 species
GAUGAACGCUAGCUACAGGCUUAACACAUGCAAGUCGAGGGGCAGCAUGAACUUAGCUUGCUAAGUUUGAUGGCGACCGGCGCACGGGUGAGUAACACGUAUCCAACCUUCCGUUUACUCAGGGAUAGCCUUUCGAAAGAAAGAUUAAUACCUGAUAGUAUGGUGAGAUUGCAUGGUUUCAUUAUUAAAGGAUUCCGUAAAGGAUGGGGAUGCGUUCCAUUAGGUUGUUGGUGAGGUAACGGCUCACCAAAGCCUUCGAUGGAUAGGGGUUCGUUGAGAGGAAAGGGUACCCCCGACCCAAC